AGCCGGGAGCGCGGCGGGCAGGGCGGGCGGGAGCGGCCGAACCCCGCAGCCCUCCCCGGCCAUCCCGCCCGGCCCGGCCCCUCGGGAGCGCGGGGCAGCGCCGGGGGCGGCGGCGGCGGCAUCACCAUGGUCGGGCCGGGCCGGCUGCUGCGGCUGCUGGCGCUGCUCGAGCUGCCCUGCUGCCUCCUGGAGCUGCUGCUCGGGGAGGCGGCCCGCGGGCAGGAGAUGUACGCGCCCCACUCCAUCCGCCUGGAGGGGGACAUCACCCUGGGCGGCCUCUUCCCCGUGCAUGCCAAGGGCCCCCCGAACUCGCCCUGCGGGGACAUCAAGAAGGAGAACGGCAUCCACAGGCUGGAGGCGAUGCUCUACGCGCUGGACCAGAUCAACAGCGACCCGGACCUGCUGCCCAACGUCACGCUGGGCGCCCGCAUCCUGGACACCUGCUCCCGGGACACCUACGCGCUGGAGCAGUCCCUCACCUUCGUGCAGGCGCUCAUCCAGAAGGACACCUCCGACGUGAGGUGCACGAACGGCGAGCCGCCCGUCUUCGUCAAGCCGGAGAAAGUAGUUGGAGUGAUCGGGGCGUCGGGAAGUUCCGUGUCCAUUAUGGUGGCCAACAUCCUCCGGCUCUUCCAGAUCCCACAAAUCAGUUAUGCCUCAACUGCACCAGAGUUGAGUGAUGACAGGCGCUAUGAUUUCUUCUCACGUGUGGUUCCUCCAGAUUCCUUCCAAGCACAAGCAAUGGUGGACAUUGUGAAAGCUUUGGGAUGGAAUUAUGUAUCCACUUUGGCAUCUGAAGGGAAUUAUGGAGAAAAAGGAGUCGAGUCCUUCAUGCAAAUUUCCAGAGAGGCAGGUGGGCUCUGCAUUGCCCAGUCCCUGAAGAUCCCCCAGGACCGCAAGGACAAGACCAUCGACUUCGACAAGAUCAUCCGGCAGCUGCUGGAGACGCCCAACGCCAGGGCCAUCGUCAUCUUCGCCAACGAUGAGGACAUCAGGCAGAUCCUGGCGGCCGCCAAGAGGGCGGAUCAAGUGGGACAUUUCCUGUGGGUGGGCUCGGACACGUGGGGCUCCAAGGUGGGCCCGCUGCUGCAGCAGGAGGACGUCGCUGAGGGGGCCAUCACCAUCCUGCCCAAGAGAGCCACCAUCGAGGGGUUCGAUGCCUAUUUUACCUCCCGCACCCUGGAGAACAACAGGAGGAACGUGUGGUUUGCAGAGUACUGGGAGGAGAACUUCAACUGCAAGUUGACCAUCACUGGCUCAAAGAAGGAAGACACGGACAGGAAAUGCACAGGGCAGGAGCGCAUCGGGAAGGACUCCCCGUACGAGCAGGAGGGGAAGGUGCAGUUCGUCAUCGACGCCGUGUACGCCAUGGCCCACGCCCUGCACCACAUGAGCCGCGACCUGUGCGCCGACGGCGCCGGGCUCUGCCCCGACAUGGAGCACGCGGGGGGCAAGAAGCUGCUCAAGUACAUCCGCAGCGUGAACUUCAACGGCAGUGCUGGCACUCCAGUGAUGUUCAACAAGAACGGGGACGCCCCAGGGCGCUACGACAUCUUCCAGUUCCACAGCACCAACACCAGCACCCCGGGCUACCGCCUCGUGGGCCAGUGGACAGAUGACCUCCAGCUCAACGUGGAGGAGAUGCAGUGGGGCGGGGGCGUGCGGGAGGUGCCGCCCUCGGUGUGCAGCCUGCCCUGCAAGCCCGGCGAGAGGAAGAAGAUGGUGAAGGGGAUGCCCUGCUGCUGGCACUGCGAGCUGUGCGACGGGUACCAGUACCAGGCGGACGAGGUGACCUGCCUGCUCUGCUCCUACAACGAGCGGCCCAACGAGAACCGCACGGGCUGCCGCUCCAUCCCCAUCAUCAAGCUGGAGUGGCACUCGCCCUGGGCCGUCAUCCCCGUCUUCCUGGCCAUGCUGGGCAUCAUCGCCACCAUCUUCGUCAUGGCCACGUUCAUCAGGUACAACGACACGCCCAUCGUGCGCGCCUCGGGCCGCGAGCUCAGCUACGUCCUGCUGACCGGCAUCUUCCUGUGCUACAUCAUCACCUUCCUGAUGAUCGCCAAGCCCGACGUGGCCGUGUGCUCCUUCCGCAGGAUCUUCCUGGGGCUGGGCAUGUGCAUCAGCUACGCGGCCCUGCUGACCAAGACCAACCGCAUCUACCGCAUCUUCGAGCAGGGCAAGAAGUCGGUGACGGCGCCCAGGCUGAUCAGCCCCACGUCCCAGCUGGCCAUCACCUCCAGCCUCAUCUCCGUGCAGCUCCUGGGGGUCUUUAUUUGGUUUGCGGUUGACCCGCCCAACAUCAUCAUAGAUUAUGAUGAGCAGAAAACUAUGAACCCCGAUCAGGCCAGAGGAGUUCUCAAAUGUGACAUUACGGAUCUACAAAUCAUUUGUUCCUUGGGUUAUAGCAUUCUGCUAAUGGUGACGUGCACUGUGUAUGCCAUCAAGACUCGGGGUGUCCCAGAGAAUUUUAAUGAAGCCAAACCCAUUGGAUUCACUAUGUACACUACCUGUAUAGUAUGGCUUGCCUUCAUUCCAAUAUUUUUUGGCACUGCCCAGUCAGCUGAAAAGCUCUACAUACAAACCACCACACUCACGAUAUCCAUGAACCUCAGCGCGUCGGUGGCGCUGGGGAUGCUCUACAUGCCCAAGGUUUACAUCAUCAUCUUCCACCCCGAGCUCAACGUGCAGAAGCGCAAGCGCAGCUUCAAGGCGGUGGUGACGGCGGCCACCAUGUCCUCCCGGCUGUCCCACAAGCCCAGCGACCGCCCCAACGGCGAGGCCAAGACGGAGCUGUGCGAGAGCGUGGACCCCAACAACUGCAUACCACCAGUAAGAAAGAGUGUUCAAAAGUCUGUUACUUGGUACACUCUUCCACCUACUGUAUAGCUUUUGCCUGCUUUCCAAAAAGUCCACAGCAUUCAAACAGAAACCUUAAAGAGGUAGUUUGGAUUAGUGGGUUUUCUGUACCGUUGGCUCCAAUUAAGGAACAGGAGUUGGGUUUGUUUCUCCCCUGCCAUAAUCUCAUACAGAUUUGGAGACACAUUUCCUAAGAUCCUGUGCACUUCUCCAGCUACCUGUGAGGCUGGUGCAGGGUGAGCAGUGCUGGUUGUGCUGAAACUGGGAGGUGCUUUGCCCUUGACUGGAGCAGGAGUGGGAUUUCAGUGGAUUGCAAUUCCAUUCCUGUCUGGAGAGCUGGAGUUGAACUGGGAGUUCACCACUGCACUGUCCUAAAAACAGCAAGUGCCCUGCUGCAAAAAAGAAGUACGUCAGUUAUAACAACCUGGUGAUCUAGGCCGCUCUCCGGGGUGAGGAUUCCCUGCCCCGCUGGCGCAGCCUCCCCCGCGUGGGGUGGCAGGGCCCGGCGGCACCCGGGACGGCGCGAGGGGAGCCCCGGCUCUGACGGCUGCUCCCGGAACUCCUGCCCCGCUCCGGGCUCCAGCCGCACCGGCGUGGCCAUCGGCCGGGCCUUGGGCCUGCUCCGGCCACGGCCUCGGGCCUGCUCCGGCCACGGCCUCGGGCCUGCUCCGGCCGCGGGAGCCGCCGAGGCCGCGGGGGGACCGGCCCCGCGCCGGCCACAAAGGACUCUAAGGGGCUAAUUCUGUCUUUCUAUGUACUUCCAGACUGCAAGUUUUUGAACUCUCUGUACAGUUUGUGAGGAUUUUUGCAUAUCGCCAUCCAUGUUGUUCCGAGGUCACUGUUUGUUUUUCGGAUGCACAGUUUCAUGAGGCCCUGUGCUCUCGGCACUUCUCAAACCAACCGGCAACUGAGGAGCUCAGACCUGUGUACAUGACUUGUAUGACUACUCUUGUAUCACUGCAAUCCAUAUACCUUAUUUUUUUUAACUAAACAAACAAACAAAAAAGAAUUUAAAGACCAAAAACUGUGCUGGCGAAGUUAGUCCCCCCUUCACACCUCCGAUGGGCUGCAGAGGAAGCAGAAGGAUUUUUGCUGAGUUUUAGUAGAGGUCUUGAUCUUUGGAAUGCAUGCCAGUAAUGUAUUUUAUGGUACAUGUUAAUAAUUUAUGUUUGAUAUUUGUAUUUGUGUUCUAUUUUGUUCUUUUCUUUAAGGUAUAUGACUAUUUUGCAAUAAUUUCAAUGAUUAUGAUAUUUGGAGGAAAGAAUAUGGCUUUUACAUGUCUUGAGGUUUUUCUCUGUUGAUGCCCCACCAUGAUUGACCAGUGUGAUAAGGACUUACAGAAGCAUGUAUGUUUUAUACUGUUUGUAAUAAGUAAUUUCGUUAAUCUUGCUGCUUAUGUGCCAAUUUAGUGAAACCGAUCUUUGCCGCAACCUCCUCCCUCCCUUUCCAUUCUCUCGAUCCUGUGAUAUUAUCCAAGAAUGUAUCAAUAAAGGAUUUUGGUUAACUUUU